GAUGAACGCUGGCGGCGUGCCUAAUACAUGCAAGUCGAGCGAACAGAUAAGGAGCUUGCUCCUUUGACGUUAGCGGCGGACGGGUGAGUAACACGUGGUUAACCUACCUAUAAGACUGGAAUAACUCCGGGAAACCGGGGCUAAUGCCGGAUAACAUUUAGACACGCAUGGUUCUAAAGUGAAAGAUGGUUUUGCUAUCACUUAUAGAUGGUCCCGCGCCGUAUUAGCUAGUUGGUAAGGUAACGGCUUACCAAGGCAACGAUACGUAGCCGACCUGAGAGUGUGAUCGGCCACACUGGAACUGAGACACGGCCCAGACUCCUACGGGAGGCAGCAGUAGGGAAUCUUCCGCGAUGGGCGAAAGCCUGACGGAGCAACGCCGCGUGAGUGAUGAAGGUCUUCGGAUCGUAAAACUCUGUUAUUAGGGAAGAACAAAUGUGUAAGUAACUGUGCACGUCUUGACGGUACCUAAUCAGAAAGCCACGGCUAACUACGUG
rnacentral:rRNA from 1 species